rnacentral:ncRNA from 1 species
AUUUCACUAUAGUUAAUUACACUGUAAUUUUAAAAUUAUGUGUAAAACUUUGCAAAGGCCCAUGGUGGGUGUUGACACAAUGUGACUUUUGCCCAGUGUUCUGAAUGUCAAAGUGAAGAAAUUCAAUGAGGCGCAGUAAAUGGUGGGAAUAACUAUUACUUUUUCAAGGUAGCCAAAUGCCUUGUUAUCUAAUUAGUGUCAUGCAUGAAUGGAUGAACGAGAU